UUUAUGGAGAGUUUGAUCCUGGCUCAGGAUGAACGCUGGCGGCGUGCCUAAUACAUGCAAGUCGAGCGAACGGACGAGAAGCUUGCUUCUCUGAUGUUAGCGGCGGACGGGUGAGUAACACGUGGAUAACCUACCUAUAAGACUGGGAUAACUUCGGGAAACCGGAGCUAAUACCGGAUAAUAUUUUGAACCGCAUGGUUCAAAAGUGAAAGACGGUCUUGCUGUCACUUAUAGAUGGAUCCGCGUUGCAUUAGCUAGUUGGUAAGGUAACGGCUUACCAAGGCAACGAUGCAUAGCCGACCUGAGAGGGUGAUCGGCCACACUGGAACUGAGACACGGUCCAGACUCCUACGGGAGGCAGCAGUAGGGAAUCUUCCGCAAUGGGCGAAAGCCUGACGGAGCAACGCCGCGUGAGUGAUGAAGGUCUUCGGAUCGUAAAACUCUGUUAUUAGGGAAGAACAUAUGUGUAAGUAACUGUGCACAUCUUGACGGUACCUAAU
rnacentral:rRNA from 1 species